UACCAUGAAAAAGAGCUUAAAAUACAUUAAUACAAAUGUAGAAAGUGGUUAGAAAUUUUAAAACAACAUUAAAGAUUAUAGGCGUAAGUAUAUAAAAUAUUUACCAAAAACUCAAUAUUUUCGAAGGGGGGUUAACACAUGGAUUUUGAGAAAAUUUCAUAAAAUAUGACACUAUGGUUUUAAUGUGUAGUUUCAUCCUGCACUAACCUAUGAUGAUGUUCAAAGAGAUUUGGAGCCUUUGUUGUCUCCGUUUUUCAAGAAAAUAGUUAUUUUAUAGUGGUUAUUCCAUCGAUUUUGGGAGUAUUAUGAAGUUUUACUAAAUUAAUUAAUAAGAAAAUAAUAAUGAUUCCCAUAUACCAUGGAAAAGAGCUUAAAAUAUAUUAAUACAAAUGUAGAAAGUGCUUAGAAAAUUUAAAA